UACGUAGGGUGCAAGCGUUGUCCGGAAUUAUUGGGCGUAAAGAGCUCGUAGGCGGUUUGUUGCGUCGGCUGUGAAAAUCCCGAGGCUCAACCUCGGGUCUGCAGUCGAUACGAGCAAACUAGAGUGUUGCAGGGGAGACUGGAAUUCCUGGUGUAGCGGUGAAAUGCGCAGAUAUCAGGAGGGAACACCGGUGGGCGAAGGCGGUCUCUGGGCAAACAACUGACGCUGAGGGAGCGAAAGCGUGGGAGCGAA
rnacentral:rRNA from 1 species